UGAACGCUGGCGGCGUGCCUAAUACAUGCAAGUCGAGCGAACAGACGAGGAGCUUGCUCCUCUGACGUUAGCGGCGGACGGGUGAGUAACACGUGGAUAACCUACCUAUAAGACUGGGAUAACUUCGGGAAACCGGAGCUAAUACCGGAUAAUAUAUUGAACCGCAUGGUUCAAUAGUGAAAAACGGUUUUGCUGUCACUUAUAGAUGGAUCCGCGCCGCAUUAGCUAGUUGGUAAGGUAACGGCUUACCAAGGCAACGAUGCGUAGCCGACCUGAGAGGGUGAUCGGCCACACUGGAACUGAGACACGGUCCAGACUCCUACGGGAGGCAGCAGUAGGGAAUCUUCCGCAAUGGGCGAAAGCUUGACGGAGCAACGCCGCGUGAGUGAUGAAGGUCUUCGGAUCGUAAAACUCUGUUAUUAGGGAAGAACAAAUGUGUAAGUAACUAUGCACGUCUUGACGGUACCUAAUCAGAAAGCCACGGCUAACUACGUG
rnacentral:rRNA from 1 species